UCCAGGGUAGCCUAGUGGAUAAGGCAUCUCCGCGGAACACUGUGGGUUCGAUUCCCAUCCCUGGAC